rnacentral:sRNA from 1 species
AAAUCUGAGGUUAGUUUCAUUGACUCGUGUUCGUAUUGACUCAGGAACUACGAGGGUAGUCGACCACUUUUAUUUGAAAGGUUUUACACAAUUGUUAAGCGAAACUAAUCCAGGCAGAUUCCGGUGGAACCAAAGGGUAAAAUACUUGAGUUCUCUUGUCUGUCUUGUCUUUUUUAUAAAUAUUUUUAUGAAACGCUUGGAUGACGAAACAUAGGAGCAAUAAACCCGAAUUCCCAAGCUUAUGGGGUUAUAAUCAAAUAUAACGAACCGCCGACUCAUCCCUGUCUUAUCAUUUAUUUCAAAACGCUCUGAGUCAAGUUAUUGAAUGACUGUCAACGUAAAUAUCGAAGACCAUCCCCGAUUGCGGCUAAUCCUAACCAGACCUGACCUUAGAGGAUUUCCCGACAGAUCCUGGACCAAAUAUACAUAAUAUGAAUAUAAUGAAGAUGUUGAAAGCGUUGCAUAGUUCUCUACAAACCCUCUGCAAGUUACGACCCGAGAAUAUCCAAACCCGAUAAGCCCUAUACAU